UUCAGUGAGGAUAACUGCUGCAUAGGAAGUGCCGUCUGAUGCGAUAACUGACGAUGGCGAUAGCUGUUCUGAGA
ensembl:snoRNA